UUUUUUUUUUUGCUUUUUGAGGCUGCACCCGUGGCAUAUGGAGGUUCCCAGGCUAGGGGGCUAAUAGGAGCUAGGGUUCGAAUUACAACUAUAGCUGCUGGCCUACACCACAGCCAGAGCAACACCAGAUCUAAGCCAUGUCAGUAACCUACACCACAGCUCAUAGGAAUGCCAGAUCCUUAACCCAAUGAGCGAGGCCAGGGAUCGAACCCACAAUCUCAUGGUUCCUAGUUGGAUUUGUUUCCACUGCACCAUGACGGGAACUCCCUGAUAGUUUUAGAUAACAUUUAACCUAUUUGGAAGAUACCUAUCCAACUGUAAUUUUUUUCAAUGUGUUGUCUAGUAGUCUCAAUGCCAUCUACUGCCAUCAUAUGCUAAAUGUUUAAAACACAUUUAUGAAUCUGUCCAUGGGCAUUGUAUUUUGACCCACAAAUCUGUGGCUAUCUUAGCAUUAGAAAUUCAAUAAUUUAGAUUUCUUAGCUUUAAAAUACACUUUAACACACGGUAAGUCUUCUCCUUAUGUGUUCUCUACAAGACUGUACUGUCAGAGAUUUAAUUAUCUAUAUUAAAACAUACAGACCAUGACAAUUUUAUUUAUAACAUCCUCAUGCAUUUUGAGUGAUAUAUUCAUAGAGCCCAUUUAAAGAAUCUCUGCAGAAGGAACAAAGGGACUCUGAUUAAUGAGGGAGCAGAGCAACAACCUAGUAAAGAGCAAAUCAGAAUCUCUAGGGAAGGAAGGGAACGUGUAGUCAGUUUUAAUUUCUAAAGCCUCACUCCCUUUAUCCCACUUCAGAUCUUCACAAACUUCAAAACAGCCUACCCAUGAAUGGUCUAAGUACAACUUUUUUCUUAAUAGUGACAUUAAAUAUAUAAAAGGGGAAAAAAAACCUAAUUUUGAGAUUUUUCACUUGCAACCACAUGGAAUAACAGAAUCCUAAUUUACACCCCGCCCCCACCUGAGGCACCCCCCCCAAAAAAAAGACAAAAUAUACAAAACGACUAUUUCCACGACACUGGAGGUUGAGCCACACAGCAGAGUGAUCUCUGAGAGAUGGGAAACAAAGGAGGUGAGCCCUGUGAUUGCCCCAAUGACUGUCCCGCGAGUUUCCAGGCCAUAGUGAAGAAGAGGAGAACACAGGUGAAAAGCCUGGUAAGACUCCCCAAGUUGAAGAGACGGCAUGGAGUGUUCUCAGGACACUGUGGCUAGAGCUCACAGCAUACGGGAAAGGAGACACCUACAAAGAAAGAAAACCCUAGAGAUCUGAACAGGUCCUGCAUGAGAGCUCAGCAGGGUAUGAAUCGGUGCAUGCAUCUGAUGAAACCACCAAGGGCUAGGAGGAAAACCAGCUGAACAGAUGAGAGAAGCCGUACCUCACACUUACUCAGGGCCCUGGAUUGGGUCCAUUCCUAGCCAGACGCGAAAAACUCCUCAUUCAGAGGGCAUUGGGCAGACGCCAAAGGGUCUUGCUUCAGGAGUAGAGGACAAAUAGCUCUAGACUAAAUGUUGUUCUGGUCCUACUGAACUAGCUUUUUUCUUUUUAUGGCCGUACCCGUGGCAUAUGGAAGUUCCUGGGCCAGGGGUUGAAUUGGAGCUGCAGCUGUGGCCUACGCCACAGCCAUGGCAACACCAGAACCGAGCCACAUCUGCAACCUCCACCACAGCUUGAGGCAAUGUCAGAUCCGCAGCCCACUGAGUGAGGCCAGGGAUCGAACCUGCAUCCUCACAGAGACAAUGUUGGGACCUUAACUCAUGGAGUCACAAUGGGAACUCCAAGAACUAAUUUUAAAGACCUAAAAGGAUCAAACUGUUUCCGAGUACCUCCACUGUGUUCCAGAAUGAAGCUCAAGAUUAUUUAUGAGAGUAUGAAAAAAUUCAUCUGUGAAAAGGUAAGAAUCACAUCUGAUGUCUAGUCAAAUACUACUAGGCA
ensembl:lncRNA